AUUGAACGCUGGCGGCGUGCCUUACACAUGCAAGUCGAACGGCAGCACGGGUGCUUGCACCUGGUGGCGAGUGGCGAACGGGUGAGUAAUAUAUCGGAACAUACCCUAGAGUGGGGGAUAACGUAGCGAAAGUUACGCUAAUACCGCAUACGAACUAAGGUUGAAAGUGGGGGAUCGCAAGACCUCAUGCUCAUGGAGUGGCCGAUAUCUGAUUAGCUAGUUGGUGAGGUAAAGGCUCACCAAGGCGACGAUCAGUAGCUGGUUUGAGAGAACGACCAGCCACACUGGAACUGUGACACGGUCCAGACUCCUACGGGAGGCAGCAGUGGGGAAUUUUGGACAAUGGGGGCAACCCUGAUCCAGCAAUGCCGCGUGAGUGAAGAAGGCCCUCGGGUUGUAAAGCUCUUUUGUCAGGGAAGAAACGGUCUACUCUAAUACAGUGGGCUAAUGACGGUACCUGAAGAAUAAGCACCGGCUAACUACGUGCCAGCCGCCGCAGUAA
rnacentral:rRNA from 1 species